CAGUACAGUAUAUCACAGAUAAAUCACAGAGGAGACUCGAAUCUUGUCUGGAUGUUACAGGGACACAUGAGACACACGUGUGUUUAUCUGCUGAAGAGUAACUGAUGAAACAAUGCUGCCAUCAUAGACUCUCAAUCUUUUGUGGCGGAGCAAGACCUGCAAGGAAAGGUGA